rfam:Gossypium hirsutum cultivar TM-1 unplaced genomic scaffold scaffold957.1, whole genome shotgun sequence
CAUUAAAAAUUUCAUUUAUUUUUACUAUUAAAAUAUAAUGUGACAGACGGAAUAACCAGACAGUUAGACAUAGCAUGUCAUGUGUACAUUAUGUUGACAUAUAAGGACCACUUUUUAACAGUAAAAUACAUUAAAUUUUUAACA